rnacentral:rRNA from 1 species
AUUGAACGCUGGCGGCAUGCCUUACACAUGCAAGUCGAACGGCAGCGGGGACUUCGGUCCGCCGGCGAGUGGCGAACGGGUGAGUAAUGUAUCGGAACGUACCAUUCAGUGGGGGAUAACUAUCCGAAAGGAUAGCUAAUACCGCAUAUUCUGUGAGCAGGAAAGCAGGGGAUCGCAAGACCUUGCGCUGAUUGAGCGGCCGAUAUCAGAUUAGCUAGUUGGUGAGGUAACGGCUCACCAAGGGUACGAUCUGUAGCGGGUCUGAGAGGAGGAUCCGCCGCACUGGGACUGAGACACGGCGCAGAGUCCUACGGGAGGCAGCAGUGGGGAAUUUUGGACAAUGGGGGCAAGCCUGAUCCAGCCAUGCCGCGUGAGUGAAGAAGGCUUUCGGGUUGUAAAGCUCUUUCGGCCGGGAAGAAGUCGCAUCAGCUAAUACCUGGUGUGGAUGACGGUACCGGAAUAAGAAGCACCGGCUAACUACGUGCCAGCAGCCGCCGCCGUAA